ACAGAGUCAGACACGACUGAAGUGACUUAGCAGCAGCAGCAGCAGUAAAUGGAUCUCUAACGACACAGGUGGCUGCAUCAGACGCCACAGCUCCACAGCACUGGUUUCCCCUCCUUACUCUCUUAGCCCUAAAUUCAGGCUGCCCAGGGUGCCGCCUAAGUAUUAUGUGUGUGUCCCACUUAUUUUUCUUCAGAGGCAAAGUGUGUAGACCUGCUACUGUACAUACUUUCUCUUCUUGGUGGUUUGAUUUCUCAACUAAAGAUAGCACCUGGGUAUUAGUCGCUCUCUUGCCCCUUGCGCAUGUGAAGAUUUUGCAGUUCAUUCCAUGGAAUUUGAGGGCAGUCACCUGAGGACAUUACUGGACCUCUAAGGCAAAGGCCCUGACCCAGAAAUGCAGUGGCCUGCUAUGGUUCCAUACUUUGAGUGACCAAUUGCCACAUGAUGUGUAAGGGGAAUGUAGUUCAUGCUAAGAAGAAAAGGACUAUUUCUAGAAAGUCAGAAGCAAGAUACUUAGAAACCUUCAGAACUUUCUUGAAGAGAUAUGUAAUUGAUGGUUUGUGAGACAAUGCAGACAACAGUAAUACAGAACUUGGUCUCAGUUGCAGGCUUCUUUAUCAGAGUAUUCAGAGGCUUUUGUUGAUCAGUUGAAUGUAUCAACCCUCACCCCAAUAGUAUACUCCCUUACAAUACCAACUUCCCUUCUUUCAGAAGAAUUUAUUAACUAGACUUUCCAAAGAGCCGCAUGCCAAGGACUGAGCCACAUUGGUCUGUAGGUUUUGAUCUUUCCUAUCUGUUUGGUCCUGUCUCUGAAGUACACCUCUCCUUCAUCCUCUAUUGAAGUUCACAACUCUCUUUCUUAAGAGAAAAUAAAAUAUUUACACAACAAUUUACACAGUUUUCACAUUUAAGCCAUUCCUUCUCUUCUGUUUCACUCAGAGAUAACUAAGAACAUCAUCUUCAAAAUCAAUCAGGAGGUACAGGACAUACACACAUACACACACACACAUAUACACACACACACACAUAUAUAUAUAUAUAUCUUGAUUCAUUCCUAGACCUUCUUCUUGGAGAAAUGGAUACAUUAUAAAAUGAAACUAUUAUCUCCUCUGAGACAAGCAGCACCUCUGAAUAACACCAGAUACACCUUUAGUCACUCCAGAAAAUCAUUUAAUCACAUAUUCAUCUCAACAUCUCAAGCCAAUCAUAUUAGAAAACAAAAUAAAGAAAAUUCUGGAACAAAAUUACAGUUUAGGUAGAUUGGAGUUUUUCUAAAUUAAUUAAUUUAUUUUAAUUGCAGGCUAAUUACUUUACAAUAGAUUGGAUAUUUUUAUGAUGUAUCUUUCACAGACUAAGCCCAGAAUUGUCUGAUUUAGAGGAUUUGAAGAAUUCUAGAGGAAACAGUUUCUUUGUACACAGUUUUAUAUAAUAUAUACCAUUCAUGAGAUUUUACAAGUCACAAAGUCAUUUCAGAAUUAUGUCAUUAAAUUCCACACUAGCUGUGUCAAGUAAGGCAAGACUGAUAUUAUGACCGCAUUGAAUAAGUGAGAAAACUGAGGCACAAAGAAAUAUGUGCCUCUUCCAAAGUCAUCAUCAAAAAAUAAGCAGAAGACCUUAAUACACAUU
ensembl:lncRNA